CAUGUCUUUUUGAAUUUAAUUUAAAGUCUAAUCUGCCCACUGAUAUAUUAUUAAAUGGCCGCAGUAUUUUAACUGUGCAAAGGUAGCAUAAUCAAUAGUUUUUUAAUUGAAGACUUGUAUGAAUGAUUGCACGAGAUAUAAGCUGUCUUAAAGAAAGUAUUUUGAAUUUUAUUAUUUAGUUAAAAAGCUAAACUAAUUUUAAAAGACGAGAAGACCCUAUAGAUCUUUAUAAAAAUAAUAUUUAUUUUUUAAAGUAUGAUUUUUAGAUUAAUAUUAGUUUUUAUUUUAUUGGGGUGAUAUUGAAAUUUAAUUAACUUUCAAGUUUUAAAUACAUUAGUUUAUGGGUAAUUGAUCCUUUAUUAUUGAUUAAAAAUUUAAGUUACCUUAGGGAUAACAGCGUAAUUAUUUUGGAGAGUUCUUAUCGAUAAAAUAGAUUGCGACCUCGAUGUUGGAUUAAGAUUAAUUUUAGGCGUAGCAGUUUAAAGUAUUAAGUCUGUUCGACUUUUAAUUUCU
rnacentral:rRNA from 1 species